CGUUCAUGUCGUUGUUAUCGUUCACUUGGUCCCGGGUCGGGAGGCGGGUGUUGGCGGCGGGGACCCGGCCUGUAGGGAGCGAGAGUGAUCCCGAACACCACCGGAGAGGCGCCGGAAGUCGCGCCGGAACUGUAGCGUGUGUCCGCGCUCGGUUCGGCGUGUGAGGUGUGGGACGAUGGAUCGAUAUUUUACCGUGUUUACGGUUUUAAUCGUAUCUGAUGUAAGAACGUGAAUAAUGAAGAAUCCUGCAGCGAGACGCGCGCGCUGAUCUGAUCUGAUCUCAGCACGAGACCCACAGGAGCGGUGGUCACUGUUCACACGAGGUCGUAUCGGACACGGUCACGGACAAAUCAGCGUCUUCGAUGAACCUCACUCGCACGUCUUUGGACCGUGGGAGGAAACCGGAGCACCCGGAGCAAAGUGGAGUAUAGUAGGUUGAGCCGAGCGUGGGAGACCCAAGGAGGACAAAAGCUCAAGAGUCCCACCGUCCUGACCGUUGAAGAACAGGGUGAAAGGGGGCUAACGGAGCAUGCAGAGAGACAGACGGACUACAGUCAGUAACUGUAGAGCUACAAAGCGCUUCUAUACGGAGCGGUGGUCACUGUUCACACGAGGUCGUAUCGGACACGGUCACGGACAAAUCAGCGUCUUCGAUGAACCUCACUCGCACGUCUUUGGACCGUGGGAGGAAACCGGAGCACCCGGAGCAAAGUGGAGGUCGACCCGUACCCUCUGUCCCUGUACCAUCCCGCCCCCCAGGCCGACAGACCCCGAAGAGGUCCGGGAAACGGGUGACUAAAUAUCUCUUUUUAUCUUUUGAAAUUAAAAGUUAGUCAAGGUCAGUCUCUCGGUCUCUGUACGGAGUGGAUAGCGAUACGAUCGUCCCGCUAUAUCUAAACGAACACGGUCACGUUAAUAAAUGAAAUGAGACGAGACUCGAACGGGGUCUCGUCGUGUGUUUGUGUGAUGGAUAUUCCUACGUCUUUGUGUGGGUUUUAUGAGGGUCCCUGACUCGUAAGCUGCAGUGGGAACUUAUUAGAUGGAUGGAUGGAUGGAUGGAGCCCUAACACGUGUGUGUUUUGUGGAGCGUGUUAACGUAGUCAUCUUUUCUUUUUCUUGGUCGGGUGCCGCACGUGUCCGGGCGAACGGAGGCGAGCGGACACCGAGCUCGAGCGGUCGAGCCGAACCCCGUGGCGCCGAUCGACCGUCAAUCGUCGCCUCGGGAGACGAGGAGGGUCACCGGGGCGGUCCUCCGAACGGUACCGGAGGUCAGGAGCGGUGGGACGACUCUGCAGGAGCCCGGCGGGGUCUUACCCACGGCCAUCUCGGGGGUUCCCGGCAGGAUACGGGCCGGCCGCUCCAGCGCCUCCAUCUCGUCUGUCUGCGACCGGGUCGUCGUGUCGAGACGCCCGUUUUAAGGACGUUUCUUCUUCCGCACAGGGCGACACGAUCUCCUCGAGUUUGUCCUGGUUGAGCACUUUUGUUUGAAAAUGUUUACGUACAAAUAAUAAUCAGUCCAUGUCGUGGAUUAAAGUUAGUUAGGACCAGAGGUGGAAAGUAACGAAUUACAUUUACUGGCGUUACUGUAAUUGAGUGUACUUUUUUUGUGUACUUGGACUUUUUUUAAGUAGAUCUCACAGCCUGUAAUGUUACUUUUACUCGAGUAUGUUUUGUAUUAAGAAUUGUAAUUGGCUACAUUUCAACCAAGAUCCGUCACCGAGUAAAAUAAUAGACGCUAUAGAAAUCGCGUCUGGGAAACAUUCCGCGACGGGGAGUCGGAUCUUUUGUCUCGGUUCCUUCUAAAGGUACUAAGACACUAUCUAUAGAAAGAA